UACAGAGGUCUCAAGCGUUGUUCGGAUUCAUUGGGCGUAAAGGGUGCGUAGGCGGCGCUGUAAGUCGGGUGUGAAAUUUCGGAGCUUAACUCCGAAACUGCAUUCGAUACUGCGGUGCUUGAGGACUGGAGAGGAGACUGGAAUUCAUGGUGUAGCAGUGAAAUGCGUAGAGAUCAUGAGGAAGACCAGUGGCGAAGGCGGGUCCCUGGACAGUUCCUGACACUGAGGCACGAAGGCCAGGGGAGCAAACGGG
rnacentral:rRNA from 1 species